GUGGCAGAGGUGUGUUUCCCCUAAAGGCGAACUGGGGUUAUCUUAAAGGGGACCUCGCCCAACAGGGUUGCCUGGAGGUUUGGACUGCCAGCAAUCGGGCUGAUGGAGGAGACUAUUAACAGGCCAUGACUGGAAGCUGAUGAGAAGCGACUGAGAGAUGGAAACAGAGCCGGGCUCUCUAGGUUCACAUCCUGGCACUGCUGCUUAUUCAGUGUGUGAUCAUGGACAGAGGUGGAGCAAGAAAGGUAGAAGUAGAAGAACCUGACUCCAUACCCCUGCUGGCAUCUUAGGAAGAUAGCUCAGAGGAGCCAAUUAAAAUUAGGUGGCCCUCUCAUGUCCUCCUCUGACCCACCACGCCACGAGUUAGAUCUCCAUCCAGAAGGUGGUCCUGCAGGUAAAGCAGCACCUGACCACGUACAUGGGUGAUACGAGUCCAUUCUCCAGCCUCUCCAAAGUUAUGUAGAAUUUAUGGGGUAGAAGAUGGAAGAUGAGUCUGUGAAAAAGUCAAAGAAGAAGGCAGAGAGGAAGGCCAAAAAAAUAAGGGAAAUCAAGGAGUGAAGGACUAACCACUGGAUCUGGAC